rnacentral:lncRNA from 1 species
UGAUACCAAGGCAGAAUAUGAAUGACAAUCACUUAUAUUGUUUGCAGAGUCUACAAUUUAAAAACAAGAGCUAGUAUGGUUCCUUACGUUAAGAAGAGAAAGAAAUGCAUCCUCAGAUCCAAAUAUUUUCACUAAGUUUCUCAUAGUGAACAUAGUGUUGUUGGGCUGCAUCUCAUCAUCCCAUUCAGUCACAUCAUAAACAGUUCAUUGAGCACAUUCUAACACUGCUGAGGACCUGUGUAAGACCAGGCAUUGUGUUUCAGUUCCACACCAUCUUUACGGCCUGGGUUAGCUUAGGAGUAACUUUAAGAAUGUCAUUAGUGGCUGGACACAGUGGCUCACGCUUAUAAUCCCAACACUUUGUGGGCCUGAGGCAGGUAUGGGUAACACAAUGAGAUCCAUUUCUUUAAAAAACACAAAAAAUUAGCCAGGGGAAGUGGUGCCUGCCUGUAGUUCCCGCUACCCGCUACUCGCUACUCUGGAGGUAUAGGUGGGAGGAUGGCUUGAGCCUGGAAAGCUGAGGCUGCAGUGAACUGUGGUCACACCACUGAACUCCAGCCUGGGCGACACAGUGACAACCUAUCUCUAAAAAAGAUUGCAUAGAGUUGGUUGAAUAACAAGUUGGUUUAUUAAGCAUGUAAGAAUUGUAUCUAAAAUAGAAGCAAAUAAGUCCUGAGAAAUGGCCAGAGAGAUUCUUCUUUGAGUAACAUUCUGUAAGAGUAUUACUUGGUUGUUCAGAUAAUUUUUUCAUCUUCCUAUUGAUUCUUGGCUGUGUUCUGAAUAAUUGACUUUGCAAGAUAACUGAUCAUGGAACAAAUGCAAUAUUAAUCUACACAUGAUACAAUAUUAUGCUGAAUAGGGUGUCAAAGGGAGAGCUUUCUUGCAAAAUAUUUCAUGAGAAAGAGAUUGCAGAAUUGCUGCCGGGUGAGCCAUCCUGUUAUACAUAAUAGAUCAGUUAAGGAAGAGCUCCAGGUGAAUGGGGACCAUAUAAACCAAACUGUAGAACUGAAUCAUCCAAGGGUAGGAGACAGAGGUGUUGCAGGUCUGGGGCUUGGAGCUAUAAUGUCUUAGAUAUCCAUUUGAAACACUGUUUGCCUGCCCUUAAAGCAAGAGUUUGGAGGUUAGUCACUGCUUCUCUUUAUCAGUUUCAUAUUCCAUGGGAGGAGUGAAGAGAAAGAACAUUUUCUUCUUUCUUCCCUGAAAUUUGGGCAUAUUGUCUCCAGUUUUCAUUUAGUGAUUUCAUUAUUACUAUCAACAUUUUAAGCACCUGGAGAUACUUGGGAAUGGGACAACAAAAGGAAUGAACAAUGUAAUGCAAUAUGACCUUAAGAAGUUCAUUUUCAACAGCAUGAACAAGGAUAACGAGGUCAAUUUAGUUUUUCAAGUGGGUUGGUAUAAUUCAGUGAGCUUGAAAAGUGGAAUGACAUUCUCAAGAGAACAAGGAAUGUAUAGUUUGUAAAGUAAAAGCAAAUCUUUGAGUUUUUUUCUGACAAAAAAAAUUUACCCAAUGUACUACUAACACAGUCAGAAGAUAAUUCAUUAAGAAUAGUUUUAGCGGUGGCUCGCUCCUGUAAUUUAUCACUGUGGGAGGCUAAGGUAGGAAAUUAAUGGGGAACGGUGGUACAUGUUUUUAAUCCUGGUUACUCAGGAGGCUGAGGCAGGAGGAUCACUUGAGUCCAGAAGUUUGAAGCUGCAGUGAGCUAUGACUGCACCACUGCAGUCCAGCCUGGGUGACAGGGUGAGACCCCAUCUGAAAAAACAAAACAAAACAAAAAAACCAGUAAUUUAAUCUUAGGAAUUUUAGUUCAUAAUCUCUACCUGUUUGGAUAUAUUCUUCCCACUUUAAUCAGAUCACCAUUUGCUAGCAAUUGCGCUCAUUGAUACUACUGCCAACUUCAUGAAUGAAAUGGAGUAUUUGAAAUACUGACCCAUUUAUUUCUCUAAAAAACAAACCAUUUCUCUUUAUUUCUGAAAUUUCUUCCCACACUUCCAUUACCUUAGUCUCUAUGAAGUUCUU